GUGCAAAACAGCAGCCAAUCUUAAUAAUCCUCUUAAGAGACAGAGGCGGAGCCUGUUGGUUAGUGGACGUCAAUCCCUUGCUGUAUUAACCCAGAAAGUUCUGCGGGAGGAGAAGAGACAGGUCAUGUAAGAAGUUCUCUGCUCAAAGUAUUAUAAAAAUACUAGAAAACGCUAGAAUUCAGUGUUGUAGAUAGUGAGUAAAUCACUACCAAGCUGACCGCUGUUAGAGUUGAGGCUGCAGAGUGGAGGAAGGGAGAGAGGCUCACUUAUUGUGCCUCGUGAAACUUUGCCAGUUACACGCUCCGGUAAUCUCCAGGUGGAGGUAGAACCUGGUGUCCAUGUGCCCUGUGGUGGUGUGUGAAAACCCUGGAUAGGAUUCGGCCAGUUUUUUUGUUGGGUGGAAUGGAUUGGAUGAUCUUCCCGAACACUCCUCGUGUCGUUCAGCUGCACACGGCCGGUGCAGUGCGCGGUACUAGGAUGGCGAGCCAAGCCCGAGGACCCAAGUGACUUCAUUACACUUCAUUCACAUUUUUCAAACACUUGAUAGUGAACAUUAAAGAAAAUUUGUGGACUUUUGAAUUUUUGGAGUAAAAGGACACUUUUUUUUUAUUUUAUUUUGUUUAUUUUUUGAAAGGAAAAAAAGACACUCCUUGAACUAUUUGAAUACAAAGACACUGAAAAGGGUUAAGCUUUAAUUGGUUUGAUUACUGUUAUUUAAUUUCUAAGUGGUUUUGAUAUACAUUUAUUGUUUUUGCUACAGAGAAUUAUUAUUUUUUUUUUUGGUUGUUUGUUAAAGGGUGAACUAUUGGUGUAAAAUAACCUAGAGGUUUAAUUGGAUAACACUAAUUCUAACAAUACUUACCUUUAAUUAAUAAUCCAUUAGACCUAGAAGAAAGAAAUAAUUAAUUAGUUAUAAAAUACAUAUAAAUAGAUUAAAAUAAUAAAAUAAUACUUACCUAAAACUGCAUAAAUACCUCUAAAUUAGAGAACACCGGUGAUUAGAGAAAUAAUAGUAAUUAAUAUAAUAUUAAAUAUACAAAGUGAAAUACAAAGGGGAUACUUACCAUUUUCAUUGUUGACCCAGGUUAUUGAAGGGUGAAUUUCUUUUGGAAAAAACAGUAACUGAAUUGUUUUAUUUAUUUAUUUACAGAAUUUAUUUUUGUUAGUGUUUUAAUUACCUACUGGUAUUGAUUCUGACAUUUUAAUACACUUUAUUGCUGCACAAAUUCUGGUCUCAUUUCUUCCAUGUGUAUUGCUCCUAGAGCGAACCUAACUGGUCCUAGAACUAUCCUAAUUGUUUUAUCAUUAACACUCAUUGUAGUGAUUGUGUAAUUGGGUCUCUAUAUUUGUGGCGUGCUUGCAGAAAUGGCUUCUUUCGCAUCACUCUCCCAUACAGCUUCUCCUUGUGCAAAGUGCGCUGUAUUGUUGACCGAUGCACAGUGACACCAUCUGCAGCAAGAUGAUGCUGCAGCUCUUUGGAGGUGGUCUGUGGAUUGUCCUUGACUGUUCUCACCAUUCUUCUUCUCUGCCUUUCUGGUAUUUUUCUUGUCCUGCCACUUCUGGGCUUAACAAGAACUGUGCCUGUGGUCUUCCAUUUCCUUACUAUGUUCCUCACAGUGGAAACUGACAGGUUAAAUCUCUGAGACAACUUUUUGUAUCCUUCCCCUGAUCAUUUAUGUUGAAAAAUCUUUGUUUUUAGAUCAUUUGAGAGCUGUUUUGAUGAGUCCAUGAUGCCACUCUUCAGAGGAGAUUCAAAUAGUAGAACAACUUGCCACCUUAAAUACCUUUUCUCAUGAUUGGAUACACCUGACUAUGUUCAAAGCUCAAUGAGGUUACCAAACCAAUUUUGUGCUUCAGUAAGUCAGUAAAAAUAGUUAGGAGUAUUUAAAUCAAUAAAAUGAUAAGGGUGCCCAUACUUUUGCACCGGUCAAAUUUUGGUUGAAUGCAUAUUGCACAUUUUCUGUUAGUACAAUAAACCUCAUUUAAAUCCUGAAAUAUUACUGUGUCCAUCAGUUAUUAGAUAUAUCAAACUGAAAUGGCUGUUAAAAACACCCAAUAUUUAGAACUAAAAAUGAUUAAGAUUAAUAGGGGUGCUUAAACUUUUUCAUAUGACUGUAUGAACUUUGGAGGUGUGUAAACCACACCCAGCACAUUUCUACAGAAAAAAAUGGAAAUUGAGUCUUCUGGAAAGAAGAGAAGCUUUAAUUAAACGAUAAAAGUGGGCACACUGAACACUGAUACAUUUAAUAAUAUACUUAAUAUAGUUGUUGAAGUUUCUGUAACAAAACCAACGUAACAUAUCUUGUUAUCUACACACAAUAAAUGAAUGUUAAAGAUUCCCUAGAUUAGUUUUUUCUGUUCAUAGCAAGUGAAAAUAAGCUUUACUAUAUACUAUUCACUUAAAAUGCGUACAUAUUAAAAUAGCAAAAAUAAUUAAAUGCCAACGAUUAGCCCUUAUGGUGUGCUGUGUUUUUUUGGUUUGCACCUACUAAGAAGUCAGUAAUGAAAAACCUCCACUAAAGCAUGAGAUAUGACAACAAACAGUUGCUGUGGCCUUGGUAUUAGGGUCAUGAAAACAGUAAAUUGAGGGUGCUCUGGUCGCUUAUUACACACCUCCAGCAUAACAUUACGCUACUGUUUCUGCUGUUCCUAGAAGUGCAUUAUGUGAACCUGUGCUGUAAACAGAAUUCAGAGGAAUUCAUUAGAAGAUGCUGAAAUGAUAACCAAUAAACAGUGUAUACUUUAAAUUAUUACAUUAUUAAAAUGUGAUUUCAAAGAAAACCACAUUCAUUUAAACCUUUUUUUGUUAACAUUUAAAUUUUUCUGUUGCCAUUUAUUUGAAUUAUAAAUAAACACCUGUCAUUUGA